CAAAUGAAAGGCUCUCGUUAGGCAGGCUUAAUUGGGCUGCCUUGCUUAGCCCACCUGUGAGCAGCUUUGUGGCUGCAAGAGCUUAGAAAAGCAGGAGUGAGGCGCUCCUGAAGUUUCUUUUUUCUUUUUCUUUCUUCCUGAAGUUUUUUUCCUGCUUUAUUCUGGAAGCUGAAGCUGGAGGAAGCUUGAAAACUUGGGAUGGCAGGUGGAUGGUGUUGGCUCAGCUAGGCUGAAUUUGCUCCUUGUGACAAAAAACAGAAUCUCUGCUUGGAAGUGUGAGAGAAAUGAGCUCUUCCCCCAGAUCCCUGGCAGCAGGCGGACAAGCAAAACUGAACUGUCUGCAGUCCUGGAGAGCCUGGAUUUAGAGAGAUUUCCAGCAGUCAUCAGCAAAAUAAGAGAAAAAGUCUGGUUGCUGAUUUCCCAUGUCUGGUGCAGCCAGAGCACCUGGAUCCUGCAGGGAUGUGCAGUUUUUUGGAUCAGGUGAGCAGCUGGGGGCUGGCACACCUGGGCAAUGCAUGGAGAAUACCUGACCCAUGGUGGGGGAUGCAAAAAGGACAGGGAUUUUGGUGCUGUGGCAUGAGGUUUUUGAAGCCCACUCCUAAAACUGCAGCUGAGGCGGAGCAGGGGUGCCAAGUGCUCCAGGCUGACCCCCUCCAGGCAGUGCCUGUGCCUCAGGCAGAGCCUUUCCAGGCUAAAUAUUGACUGGAGUGUGGCACAGAUGUCCCUCACAGCCUCCUCCCUGUCCCCUCCCACCCCAGUCCGGGAGGGGGGGAAGCCCCAAGCCAUGCCAGGGCUUUGCCUCCUCAUUAUCUCAUGGAUCCCCCCCGUCUGUGCCCUGGGCUUUUCGCAGACCCCCAUUAUUUCCAAUCCCCUUCACUUGUCAAAAGUAAUUUGGUGACUUGUUAUCGGUCAGACCAAACAGCUCUGGGCUCUGCCAGUCCCGAGCGGGGGCUCGGCUGCUUCCAGACCUUUAUCCCCCUCUUCCCCUCUCUCUGGGCUGAGCUGCUGAGGGGAGCGUUCAGCAGGCAGAUCCCAGCCCCAAUUAGCAGCCCAGGAAUUUUAAUUAGUCGAGCAGUCAAUUAUAUCACUGGACACCCUUUGCCCUCUCCCCUUGCUCCCCUCUCUCCCGCUGUCCGUGGGCAAAGCUCCCAGCCCUGCUCUGAGCUGCCAGAGGGGCCCAGCUGUCCCAGAUCCUGCUGCUGGCCCGUGGGUUUGUCCCCUCUGAGGCACAGCCUCAUCCCUGACCUCCAACUGAACUGGGGCUCUGUGCCCUCCCAGGCCUGCCCUGCCAGUGGCAGUCUGAGCAAGAGGGACACAGAGCAGGGAAGAGCUUUGGGUUUGGGCUCCAUUCUCCUGCUUGGGUGUUGGGGACAGGAAUGGGAUGGGGAAGUUUGGAGAGAGGGGCCUUUCCUUCCCUUCUUGGUGCUUCUUGAUGCUGAUCUACCUGUCAGUUCUCCUCUGAGGCUGGCUCGCAAGCUGGGACACCAGGGGAGCUGCCAGCUGGUUAAUGCUGUCACUUGCCUAUCAAUGAGAAUCCCUUUGGAUCUGCUCUGCUAUUUCUAUUUUAUUUGCUUCCUAAAAUUACCUCCUGUCCCACUCCUGCACUCAGGGCUUUGCUGCAUCUCCAAGGUAACACUUCUGCCCACCACUGCUUCCCGACCUUGCUGGCCCAUCAAAAACCUGUCCUAAAUUCGCUGGCCAUUGAUUAAUGUUGCCAUUGAUUAAAGUCCUUCCCAAUUUUGGUGUUUCUUAUAGUUUUGUGUCAAGUGUUGCUCAUUUUGCUGUAAGAUCAGGCUGCAGCGAGUCUCAAAUCUGCACCAAAUCACAUCCUCAGGGUGCUGGACAUGCUUUACAAGGUGACAUAGCUGGUGACAGGACCCUGCACAGGCAUUCCCAAAUUCUGGUCAUACUCCAAUGUGUCUUGUCCCAAUUCUUUUCAGAACAGCAAAUGCCCUUUUCUGAGGUGUUAAGCAGCUUGGUCAUCCCUUCCUCCAUCCCUCCCUCCCUCUAUCAUUCCACCUUUACCCCGUGGCAGGAUCUACCUCUGUCACAGCCUGGCUGUGUAAAGCCGAGCCUGUGGCCUUUGGGCGCGGUGGCAAUUGAGCUGUAGUGACAAGGGCCGCUUGUUUGAUGGCAUCUCGGAGGGGGAAUUCCUCUCCCACCGGGAACUGCGGGCUCUAAGAGCAGGGACGAGUGCGCAGAUGUUUGGGAACACGCAGACAAUUACCCUGAGCAUCUCGUUCCCCUCUGACGGGGCCAUUACACAUCAGUGAGAUGAUCAGGAGCUGGCUACACACGGUGGGGAAGGGAUGCUGGAACCAUCUGGCUGUACCGAGUGUGAUAUGGGGAACAUCUGCUGGGCACGUGUAAAAAUAGGAUUAUCAGGGGAAAAAAAAAAAAAAAAGUGACUGUGGAAAGGACGUUUUACCAUCCUGCCUUAAUCGUCCUCCUCUUCUUCCUCACUGUAACAUCAGGGGUUCUCAGGUUGCACUCAGAGUGGUUUUCUCUGUGCAUCAAAUGCAGUUUAAUAGCUGUGGGUUUUAAUGUGCCUCAAGCACAGGGAAAAUAAUGGGGUGUGAUCUCAAUGAAGAGGGGAGGGAAACGUUUUGGAGGAGAAGCCAAAGGCUGUGAAGGAAACGGUGCUUUGCUGUUGGUCAUUCUCUCAGUUAUGGGUGAAGCGAAAGGGAUGACUCCCAUGCCACGAAGACACUUCAUCCCCUGCAAGGUGCUUGGCAAGGGACUGAGAGAACCUCCUAGCUUCAAACCAGCUGGAAGGCUAAGUUAAAUACUGCAGAACCUCAGGUUAUUAAUACUUUGCAGAACCUCAGGUUAACCUCAGAGAUUUCCCACCUGGGAAACACCAACAGCAUGAAGUGAAUCAAGCAGAGAGGAGAAGACCAUAGUUAGACUAGGAGAACACAGCUGAUCCCACGCUUCCCUGACAAGUCUCUCUGUUGCUUUGAUUGAUCUCUGUGAGGAACAAAGCUCUGCCAGGCUGCCAAGUGUCUUGUGUACCCUGUCAGGCUGGUUUGAGUGCCUCUGUCUAUUGUGAAUGCAAGAUCUGAGAGGAACGCAUCUUCCUUGAGAUUUAACUCUGUUCCUUCUGUUUCCAUUCUUUCCAGCUGUAAAUAUUGCAGGAUUAGAGCAAAACUGGCUGUUUUGUACCUCCUGGGUGACACAGAGCAGGACAGGCUUUGCUGGUCACAGUGAACUGUCAGUUUUCUCAUUAAAUAAAAUAGAUGUGAUUCACAGGGAUGUGAUACAGGCAGCACAUUAACCCCCUCCUUAGAAGGAUGGACACUGUUCAAACCACAAAAAACCACCCUCCUUCACCCUGUGCCCUGCCUUUUAUCCUGUGCUGUGGGGAAGAGACCUUUGGAUAGCAUGAAAUACUUUGAUUUCCCCUUUGAAAAAGUGAAGCAAGGGAGGACAGGCACAUUCAGCUGCUGGGAUUGGUGUUUGCUGCUUUCUGACAGAGAAUCUGCUCCUCCUGUGGGAGGAAAGAAAAGCCCAGGAGCUCUUAGGUGUGGGCAAAGUGGCUCAUUUUGUGCCUGGAGAAGGAAUAUGGAGGGCACGUGUCUUCUCUGUCCUCAUUCCUUCCUUCUUCAGGGCAGAGAUUCCUAUAAACACCCUAAUAUGAGAUGAGGAUCAGCUUUUUUCACAGCAGUUCAGCCUUCACUUCGAACCCUAAAUAACAGCCAGGUUCUUUGGGAAAGGCACCACACCAGCAGCUCUUAAUACUGCUGGACUCACUUGAAACUCCUGUCUGUAAUGGCUACAAAUUAUGAAUUAAUGGCCUUAAAUUCACCAUCAGACCUAGUGCCUAGUUCUCCUGCCUGGUUCUUGUUUCCAUUCUGCCUUCUCAUUGCUGUUCCACAAUUAUUUGUCAUUAGUCAUUAAUCUUGAAAGCAUCAGCUUUAUUUUCUCUUAUUUUCCUCCAAGAAACUCUUGCCUGCUCCCGGGUUUUUAUUGUUCACUGUUUUCCAUCACUCUUUCCCU